AGAUUUCUCUGUCUGGCUCUUGAUUAUGCAGUUCAGGAGCUAUUUCUUGCCUCUUAGAGGGACUCUCUAAGAAGCCCCUAUCUCUCAGAGGGAAAGUCUCUCAGAACCCCAACCCUAGAUCAGUUGGGAUGAUUAUCUGGGAUUUUUUGUUUCCCAUUAAGGAGUGAUUCCUCUGCAUCGAGGAGGUUAGUCAUGUAUUGACUGCAGUGGCAUUUCUUAUAAGAUCUCAAAGCGUUGUUGCUGCUGUUGUUGUUUUAAGAUUAUUUGUUCUUUAGAACAUGUCUGUGAGGUAGAUUUAGUGUAUUCGUUAUUUUUAUUUUACUGAUGGAUAAACUAAAGCAGAACAAGUUUAAUGACAUAUCCAAGGCCAGAAAGAAACGUGCUUACAAGAGCUAUGUUCGAGCCCUCCCUCUGCUGAAGAAAAUGGGGAUCAAUUCCAUUCUCCUCCGAAAAAGCAUUGGUGCCCUUGAAGUGGCCUGUGGCAUCGUCAUGACCCUUGUGCCCGGGCGUCCCAAAGAUGUGGCCAACUUCUUCCUACUCUUGCUGGUGUUGGCUGUGCUCUUCUUCCACCAGCUGGUCGGUGAUCCUCUCAAACGCUACGCCCAUGCUCUGGUAUUUGGAAUCCUGCUCACCUGCCGCCUGCUGAUUGCUCGCAAGCCUGAAGACCGGUCUUCUGAGAAGAAGCCUUUGCCAGGAAAUGCUGAGGAGCAACCCUCCUUAUAUGAGAAGGCCCCUCAGGGCA
rnacentral:sRNA from 1 species